GUGAUCGCUUCGACAGCACAAUUUAUUUGGAAUGACACAGAGAUUAGUGUAGCCCUGUGCAAGGAUGACACACAAAUUUAGGAAGGGUCCUAUGUUUGU
ensembl:snRNA LOC120096367 U6 spliceosomal RNA